rnacentral:snoRNA from 1 species
GUGAUACGAAAUUUUAAUAGCCUUCUAUUCACUGUGCCAUCUCAGUAUCCGUAGAUGAUCAGAGGGGAAAAGAACGGCUAGAUGAACCAUCGCCAGCGUCCUCAUACUGUCCGGAUCGAUUAGUUUUACUUUACUGGGUUCGGUCGGUAACUGCGCAAGCGAAACAUCU